UUCUCAAAGAUAAUCAAUAUUUACAGUAGUUUAUGUGCGUACACUAUUCGAAAUAACAAUAUUGUGAAUAUUAUAUCAUAUUUUUACUUUCGACUGCCUGCAAAGUUUUUCAUGUGUCUGCUAAAAGCUGCUAUAACGUCGAAUAAAUUACGGUUAAGCUGCCGUAAUCAACGUUACACACAUAAUUAAGUUUGGGUAAGAUGGCCCACUUUUUUCAUGAUAAGUCGGCCCACACAAUCGAUAUAUUAAUAUGACUAUCUGCGAGACAAAAGUCGAUUAAUUGCUUAUCACACAGCUCGUGGCACUGGCUUUUUGUUAUUGUAGAAAAGGAUUGUGGAUGAUGCAAUAAAAAUGCCAAAUAAAAAUAGGAAUUGAGAACAUACUCGAGGUUAAUCUUGAAAGAAGAUUUAAAUCUGCUAACGCAACAAAGGGUGGAAUGAGGCAUAUCUGCUCGUUUGGAAUGAAGAAAGAAUGCACCAUAUUAAAAUGAUGCAAAAGCAUGGUUUUCCGCUUACUUGAGAUGAUCUUUGUACACUGGCUUAUAACUUUGCUAAUCAACUUGAAAUCAAACACAGAUUCAAUAAUGAAACUCAAAAAGUUGGAUGAGUGACUUUAUUCAUUUUUGUCUAGACAUCCUGAUGUUUCUGUACGCAAAUCAGAAAGUUUAUCUCUUGCUAGAAGUCUUUGUAUGUAAGUAAAUUGGAUUUAAUGCAUUCGCUGCAAGCGGUGGCUGCAUGAAACGUGUACAUCAUUUAUUGAUGUUUGCCAAAUGUGUGGGAAAAUUAUAUAUAUAUUUGUAACUAAAUAUGUAAAAUUAUAAGUUUUUUUUAUUAUUUUACAAGAUGUUAAGUGCAUCUUUAACAUUAAAAUAUGUAUGGCCAAUGUCCCGUAAUGCUAUGGCCAUCUUUUCCUUAAAGGUCAGAUAAGAUGGCCAAUGCAUAUGUUGUAAUACUUUGAUAAUAUAAAAUUUAUGUUAAGUGUUUUCUUCUUAAUUUUGAUAGUUUUACGUACUUUAAGCUUCA